rnacentral:lncRNA from 1 species
CUCGAACUCCUGACCUCAGGUGAUCCACCCACCUCGGCCUCCCAAAGUUGUGGGAUUGCAGGCGUGAGCCACUGCGCCUGGCCUAAUUUUUCAAUUUUUUGGUGGAGAUAGGGUUUCACCAUGUUGGCCAGGCUGGAGUUUUGCCUGUUCUAGAACCUUGUAUCAGUCAUACAACACCCCUUUGAGGAACCGUUUGAGGUGUGGCAUGAUACAGCAAGUCAGCUGCCAAAGAGGGGCUUAGCCACAGGAAGUGCGUGCCCAGAACGCAUCUCCCGUGUCCCUCACAGCAGUUCUAUGAGGCUGGCUGCCCUGUUUGACAACUGAGGCCCGCAUCUUCCCCGGGAUUACCGACGUGUGGCUCUGAGCCCUGUCCCAAGGGAUUUUCUCCAUCAGAGAAGAGGAGCACUUUGAGCUUUCAGAGGAGCAGCCCUCUGCAAGUGAAGUGGAAAAAAAGGAAGCAGGUGAGGAGGCCCAUCCAGACCCUCCCCCAAGACCCUUGCUGAAAUGGCUGGGAUGCGGCGUGCAAGAGCUCUCCUUUCCUUCACAGCCCCUGGCUUUCCAAGAGUCCCUGCCCACCCAGAUGCCCGCUGGCGGAUGCAGCCUCAUCUCAAGGACACUGCUUGCUGGAUAAAUCCCUCACCACCCUAGAGACAGCCCACGGUCCUGAGACAAGGAUGCGGGCCAGGCUUGAUGCAGGUAAGCGCCUCCCGCAGAAACCAGUGAGGCCGGAGUUCCAGAGGAAAUGAUGUAGGGA